CUCCUUAUAGACAAUGGCGGGAAUUAAACCUGGUUCGCUGGCACUGUAAAGCGUUACACUAGCUGUUAUGUUACUGUGCAGCCCCACAUUUCCUGUGUGUUACUCUGGAUUUCCAGCAUUUGCAGGAUCUCUUGUGUUUACAAUUCUCUAUUCCCAGUUUCUUCAGUAGUUUGUAGAACUUCACCCUAACAUUUGCCUCAUCUGCUUCCUGAGGUACUGGUUUGUAUACUCUUACCGCUCACUCAGUAAAGCAUUUUCUUCUGACGUGCCUUUCUUAUUCUGAAAUAUGAUUAGGCAGUUGUCCAGAAAGGUUAGCAACUAAUAAACUCAUUUUUCUCAAUUACUUGAAAUAUUUUUGUUUCCUCUCCAUGCAGCAAUCCUUUUAGUCUCAUUGACAAAUUUAGAUGUCCUUUUUCACUCCUUGAUGCCAAAUGUGAGGCACUCAGACCAUGUACCAGCAGCCCAUCCUGACUUCUGUUCUCCUCCGCCCUGCCUCAGGCCUGUUCCCUUUCUUGAUUUAUUCUGACAUUCCUUGGGCUUCAGAUUCAAGCUAUUCCAGUCAAUGUCAUAGCUUCAGUUACCAUGUGCCAGACUUUCACAAACACUUCCAAAGUGGCUCUCAGCAAUAUUGAAAAUGUGACUGCGAACACUUUUAUUUAGUAUUUGUUAUUUAGGGACACAGCAUGGAACAGACUCUUCUGGCCUAAUGGGCCGCGUUGUCCAGCAACCCGCCUGUUUAACCCUGGCCAAAUCACAGGAUAAUUUACGAUGACCAAUUAACCUACUAACCAGUACGUCUCGGAAUGCAGGAGGAAACUGGAACACUCGGAAGAAACCUACACGCUCACGCAAUGAAUCAGGCUGGAAUCCGGUGCAGGACCUGUCAAGAGUCACUGACAAGAACCAGCUUCUCAGAAAAGAGCCUGUGACAGCUUAAUUUACAUCAGAAUGCAAUUCUGCCUCGCUCAGCCACAGUAUCGUUUCCACAGAACCAGGAGAAUUUUUAAAAAAUGACUUUAAAAAAUGCUGCCAUCAAUUAUAAGAAAGAAACCAGCAAUUGUUCCACUCUAUCCACCCAGUUCAUCUGAUUGCCACGUUGGAUUUCCACUCUCUUGCUGUGACAGUUUAGUUUACAUUGGUUAAUGGCUUAUUCAGAUCCUAUCUGCUUCACUUGACAGCAUUGACUCCGAGUGUAAUCCAUAUUAUUUACCAAACUCUCUGAGCUGGAGACCUGGUGCCAAACCACAAAGACACAAACUGGCCUCAAGUUAGCGGUUCCACCUACUCAUUGACUUCUUCCCUUGGUAAAUACAGAGGCCUGUGAUAUCUUUAACCUCUUCCUUUGGCAUUCUGAGGAAUCCACCUGCUUCGAGCAGGUUUCAAUUAUGCCAGUGCCUAAGAAGACCAUGGUAACAUGCCUCAAUGACUAGUAGUCCUGUAGUACAUACAUCCACUGUGAUGAAGUGGUUUGAGAGGCCGGUUUGAGAGUACACACAUCAUCUCCUGCCUGUGAAGCGAUUUGGAAGCCUCCAACUUGCCUACCAUCAUAAGUCAACAGCAGGUAAGUGGUGACAAAUCGGCAAGUAGGAGAGAGAUUGAAAUUCUAGCUGAGUGGUGCCACAGCCAAACCUCUUACUCAAUGUCAACAAAACCAAGGAGCUGAUUAUUGACGACAGGAGGGGGAUACUGGAGGAUCAUGAGCCAGUCUUCAUCGCAGGAUCAGAUGAGGAGAGGUUCAAAAACUUUAACUUCCUCAGUGUUAUCCUUUCAGAGGAUCUGUCCUGGGUCCAUCCAGCACAUAAUUGCCUUUACAAAGAAAGCAUGGCAGUGCCUCUCCAUAUUAGAAUUUCAAGAAAAUUCAGCACCUAGGCUAAAACUUUGACAAAUUUUGAAAGAUCUGCAGUGGAAAGUAUAUUCACUAGCUGCAUCAUGGCCUGGUAUGGAAACGCAAAUAUCCUUGAAUAGAAAAUCCUACAAAAAGUAAUGGAUACAGCCCAGUCCAUCGUGGGUAAAGCCCUCCCCACCAUUGAGCAUAUCUACAGGGAAAGCUGUCACGGGAAAGCAGCAUUAAUCAUCAAGAACCUCCACCAUCCAGGCCGUGCUCCCUUCUCACUACCGCCAUCAGGAAGGAGGUAUGGGAGCCUCAUGAACCACAUCACCAUGUUCAGGAACACCUCAACCAUCAGGCUCUUGAACCAGAGGGGACAACUUCACUCAACACCACUCACCCCAUCACAGAACUGUUCCCACAACAUAAUGGAUUCACCUUCACGGACUCUUCACCUCAUGUUCCUGAUAUCUAUGAUGAUAUCUCUCUUUGUAUUUGCAGUUUGUUGUCUUUUGCACAUUGGCGUUUGUCGGUAUUAUUGUGUGUGGUCUUUCAUUGAUUCUAUUGUGUUUCUUUUUACUUACCAUGAAUGCCGGCAAGAAAAUGAAUCUUGGGGUUGUAUAUGGUGACAUAUAUGUACUUUGAUAAUAAAAUUACCUUGCACUUUGAAGUGAUGCUCAGAAUAUCUAUUCAACACUAAAGAGGAAUAUCAUCAGGAAAAAGCAUUAGGCCUGUAAACAGAUGAUAAUGUAUUGAUUUCAUGAGAGUAAUUUUAACAUUAGAAUUGGAAUUGGUGGAUUAAGCAAAAAUAAAAAAGUUAAAAACCAACCAAUCCAUUUAGUGAAAGAGGUGUGUUAGGAUGAGGGAAUAUCAGAACAAUAAUGAGUGGUUGGACUUGGGGGGCAGUGGUUGGGAAUUAGGAUGGUUGAUUAAAAUAAAGUAUAGAUGGGGGGUGGCAGUAUGUCCUUAAAGCAUCAACUAUUUGUUAGUGACUUACUGGUAGGCACUGCAUUAUGAGGACUGAGAUCCCAGUGAUGCUUACUAUACGCUCCAAGACCCUGUAAAAUGGUCUAAAAGAAUCAAAGCAAAAGGAUGAUGUUAUCUCUGCCCCUGGAAGUUUCAUGAAAGGUGCAGGGGUGACAAGGACACGGUCCCUAUGAAUUUUUCACUUCAGGAAAAAUCACUUCUCAGUUGCCCACUACUGAGAAAAAUAACAGCAUUACAGGGUUAAUCUUUUUGGUACUAGUCAUCACAAAACCCCCUCUAAAUUAAAACAAAUACUUACAAUACCUUGAAGACAUUUUGAUGCACAUUACAGCUGAAGAAGCAUCAUUAAAAUGAAGUUUCCAGUCUUAUAAAGGCGCAAAGUCAGAUAGCUAAAAUUUCAGAUUCAUUUUUUUCUGAUAUUACUUUAGUGCUUCUUAUUUUGUCUGGUCAUGUUGUACUAUGAAGAGCAAACAGUGGGCCUAGUCAUUAUUCUGCCAUCCACCUUUCACCAUUAACUUUCAGUUCUUCACAACAGACUGAUGUAAUGAAUCUCCUGCCCUGACAAUGUUAUGGAUCCAAGGGGAAAAGAACUUGGCCAGUCUCCAUCCACUAACUUAUGGGAAUGGGUUCAGAGCAGAAAAGUAGCCAUAACUUGGCAUUAAUUGAUGCAAAAUUGGCACAUUCACCCUGAAAGCAAAUACUGCAUUUCUUAGCACUAACAUUCAUCAUGGUUACAAAUAUAGUUAAAAAACAAUAAAUAUAAAAAUAAAAUGAGGUCACAUGAUUUUUGGUUCCAGCUUUCUUACGAUUGCAGACAGUUGAACUAGACAGAUAGAUAUAAAGGCUGAGUGGAAUAUACUUAAGUGAUGGAUCAGCUUAUAUUUCAUUUCAGCUGGCAAGAAAUUCUUAAUACACACUUAUACAGACAGAGAGGCACAGGCACAUUUACAUCAACACAGAUACAUACACAUUCACCAGAAUAAUUUGAUACACAGGCCCACAGGGCGAGUUCCAGGGGACAUUGCAAAUAAGAAGCAUUAAGGGAAUCAGGUGAAGAACUCAGUUGCUAUUUUCAGUGACCUUUGGCUCCAGUUUCCUGUUGCUGUCCACUAUAAUUUUUGCUAAGAUCUCCUCCUACCAAUCUUAUUGACCAAUCACCACCCCUCUCUCAUCUCAUUGGUUCCAGGUGUGCUUAAGUCAUUACAUGGGAAAAAGAUUGGAACACUUGGGAAGAAUGACGGAAUUGGAUGUCCUGAUAAUUGCAUCAUAGGUCGGUAGGAUAGGUUUUGUCCAUGGUAGUGGGUUUCUAUUCAGGUACAAGUCACAGCAUUUUUAUCUUUGCCACUGACCCCGGACAUUCUCUCUUCUCUCCUCCUCCAUUGGCCAGGAGAUACAAAAGUCUGAAAGCAUAGACCACUAAGCUCAAGGACAGCUUAUAUCCCACUGUUAUAAGACUAUUAAAAAAGAUCACAAUAGACAAUAGACAACAGACAAUAGGUGCAGAAGUAGACCAUUCGGCCCUUUGAGCCUGCCCCGCCAUUCUGAGAUCAUGGCUGAUCAUCUACUAUCAAUACCCAGUUCCUGCCUUGUCCCCAUAAUCCUUGAUUCCCCUAUCCAUAAGAUACCUACCUAGCUCCUUCUUGAAAGCAUCCAGAGAAUUGGCCUCCACUGCCUUCUGAGGCAGUGCGUUCCACACCUCCACAACUCUCUGGGAGAAGAAGUUCCUCCUCAACUCUGUCCUAAAUGACCUACCCCUUAUUCUUAAACCAUGCCCCAAGUAUGAUUAGUUGGGCUCUUGACCUCAGUAUCUACCUUGCACCACAUUACUUACCUCCACUCCACUUUCUCUGUAGCUGUUACACUUUAUUCUGUAUUGUUAUUGUUCUAAACAGAAGUGAUUCUACAGAUCCAAGAAACCUAGAGGAACAUACCCAAAAUGCUGGAGGAACUAUGCAGGUCAGGCAGAAUCUAUGGAGAGGAAUAAAUACUCAAUGUUUUACAGUGUUCCUGUUUUACCUUGUUUUGCCUCAAGGCACAAUGGAUGAUCUGUAUGAAUGGUAAGCAUACCAUUUUAAAUGUCUCUUAGUAUAUAUGACCAUGAUAAACUAAUUCCAAUUCCAGUGUGGGAGCAGGGUACCAAUGUUGUGUAAAAUUCUGAGAACUGAAGUCUGCUCAAA